GUUGUUGUAGUAUAGUGGUGAGUAUUCCCGUCUGUCACGCGGGUGACCCGGGUUCGAUUACCGGCAACGGUG
rnacentral:tRNA from 1 species